rnacentral:rRNA from 2 species
CGCGACCCCAGGUCAGGCGGGGCUAUCCGCUGAGUUUAAGCAUAUC